rnacentral:lncRNA from 1 species
ACAUAGCGCCCGCUUCCCUAAAACUUCUCCAAGCUCUGCCCUCAACUAACCUCCUUUCCAACUCCUGUGCCUUCUCCUUAGUCAAAGCACCCCAUCUAAUCCGCGGUUGACCCCGAGCGCCCCUCUUCUUCCUCUUCACCCAGAGACUGACAUCCAUCACUAGGAGUCUAUGAAGAGUUGAAAGAGACUCUCCCGGAAUAACCUUGCAGUCCUUGCACA